CAAAAUCUUUUUAGACAUCUCCACUUUGGCCAGAGUUUUCAGAAUCAUUCGUUUUUUUAGAGAUAAUGAAAGGCCAAACAUAAAAUGGCUUUGGUUUUCCCAGAUAUCUGGCUACAGGUGGACUUAGCUGGAGUUUAUUCUGUUUACUGGAUUACUGGAUGCAAAGCUGAAAGGAUACGCAGGGACAGCUUUAAGCACGUUGGUAAACUAUCUCUACAAAACUUUUCUACAUGCUGUUCUAAACUGGAUGUAACGCAGUCUCAACCGAAUGAGGUGCCUGGCGUGUGUUUGGUGGAUUACCUUGUUCGUCAGGUGUCCCAGGAGCGCUGUGAAGAGAGACGUGGGUUCGACCACCAGAUCUGGCAUCCCAACUGAAGACCCCUGGCCCAGCAAUGGUCCCUCGUGAUCCAGGAUGAACACCUCAUCCUGACAUAUUUCUGU